rnacentral:rRNA from 1 species
UACAGAGGUCUCAAGCGUUUGUUCGGAUUCAUUGGGCGUAAAGGGUGCGUAGGCGGCGCGGUAAGUCGGGUGUGAAAUCUUGGAGCUUAACUCCGAAACUGCAUUCGAUACUGCCGUGCUUGAGGACUGGAGAGGAGACUGGAAUUUACGGUGUAGCGGUGAAAUGCGUAGAUAUCGUAAGGAAGACCAGUGGCGAAGGCGGGUCUCUGGACAGUUCCUGACACUGAGGCACGAAGGCCAGGGGAGCAAACGGG